ensembl:lncRNA
GUUCUGGUAGGCGCGCCAGUCUUCCAAAUUGACUGGGACGCCCACAGAUACCUGUGUAUCCUGAUCAAUAAAAAUCCUCUUACAGAUUACAGCCGGUGGACUCGGACUGGUCAUUGGGGCUUGAGGAUCUCCCUCCUGAGGGAAGAUUCUCUCUGAGAGUCUUACAUAUGGGGGCUCGUCCGGGAUCGGAGAUCCUCUGCCUAGAGACCACCGACCACCCACCGGGAGGUAAGCUGGCCAGUGUUUGUCUUGUCCUGUCUUGUCUUGCUUUGUGACUUGUUCUGUAAAUGCUUAGUUACUUGGCUUGGGUCUAUACCGUUUGUAUUUGGGCGGGCCAGAGAAGGAGCUGACGAGCUCAGACUUCUCCCCCGCAGCCCUGGAAGACGUUCCAAGGGUGUUUGGAGCCUGGUUUUUCGGGGCUCAGCCUGUAUCGGAAGGAUACGUGGUUUUGGGUUGGAGGAGAGAGGAGAGAGCCGGAUCCGCUGAAGGAUCCGGACCCUCGUCGCCUCUGUCUGAAUUUUUGGUUUCAGUUUGACACCGAAGCCGCGAGGUGCGUCUGUCUGUCUGACUGUUAGAAUUGUUUGUCUUCUUUGUGUCCUAAUUUUCUUUGAACAUCUGUGGAAAUUGGUUAUAGGAUGCUUUGUCUUGGUCUUGUUUGUCUGGGUUGUUUUCUGUGGUAUUGUCGAGUGUCUUUUUGGCUUUUGUUUCGUUUUUGGACUUUGGACAGACAACUGUGUUUAAAAUCUUAGACUGACGACUGUGUUUAAAAUCAUAAAACUGUUUGCUUUGUUUGUCAAGGAGUUUUACUUGGUCCUCUUGGUGCUCAACUUGGAAAUAAUUUGCUUGAAAAAAAUUGUUUUAUCUUUCUCUCUUGAGCCUCCUCCCCAAGGAGAGAUGCCCCUCCCUUUGCUCCGCUUGUCCAGUCUAGCUGCUGUUAACAGUUGUAUAUAAAGAACUCCAGGUUAGUGAGUGACCCUGUCUGAAGAAGGUAUUAACAAGAGCCUGAAAGCUUUACCUUGGAUCCUGAAGAAAAAUUUCUCCCUGUUGCUUAAACAUUCACAGCUUCUAAGGAAGGGACAACACAGAGUAGAAAAAUAUAGGGGCUGAGGGUGGUGAACAUACAGGCCUGCUAGCAAGCUGCAGGCUGCGCGUGGGCAGUGGCGCAGCUCUGGCCAAGUCAGCGUAAGAGGAGUUUCAAGGUGAUGAGGCCGGCUGGGGUUGACGCUUUGACAACAAAAAGAUAGGUAUAGAGUUAGUGGUUGUUUUAUGAGACUUUUGGCCCUAAAAAAAUAAUAAUUCCAGUUACUGCCUUCAGUGACCAGACCUUCAACACUUGCUCACAGAAGGAGAGUGUUCAUUAAGAGAAGUUCUUUAAGGGAGCCUGCCUUAUCUGCUGGCCCUAUUCCAAGAGAGGAGUUGAUCUCCAACAUUAAGUAACCUUCCCUGUUAGUCAUCAUUGACAUAGAGAGUGCCUUUGAUCCUAUCCCCACAGUAGCCAGUUCCUGCCCCUGUGGUCAAAAUGCCCCAGGUUGGGGGACAGAGAAGCCCCUAAAAUAGUUUCAAAAAAGAAUCUACAACAAACUGUAAAGAAUUUUGUUUUGCCAGUCAAAAUUUAGAAUUCAGGCUUUGGCUGUGGCCAAGGUCAGGAUUAAUGUUUUCUUUUCCAUGGGCCUUUAGCCCACUGAGACAGUUUGGUAAAGGGCUGCUACUGAGGUCCUGAAAGUCCCAGGUGAACUGGUUACAAUUCUUAUGUCAGCCACUUGGCAUCUAGCACCCAGGUCCUAACCAUCUCUCCAUCCUUUUGUUAUUAGUUCUUAAGUCCAGAGAGAUAGUUGGUAACAGAUCAGCUCCCUCUCUGCUUGCUGUUCUGUUUCACAGACACAAAGCUUGUGCUUAUUUUUACAACAGCCUUUUUGUCCCAAAAAGUCCUCCUGGUUUAGCUGUGUGACUAAAUGCUAUUUGUCCUCUUCAGUAGACCUCUAUUCUCUAGAUUCUCUUCUUGUUUUCUCACCAUCCCACUUGAGAUGACAGAAUCCUACUAGAGGCCAGAAAGAAUGUUAUAUACUGGCCACAGUAGUUAGAGAACCUAGGAAGACAGUACCUGGCAACAGAAGAGAAUUCCUAGCUAAAGAUCAGUGUGUCUAUCGCAAGGAAAAAGGACACUGGGUCAGGGACUGCCCCAGAAAGAACAAGAGGGGCCUCUCCAGCAGUCCAGAAGGCAAGCCUCUUGGUCCUAGAGUGCUGGCUAUGCGCUAAGAUAGAAGGGAAGCCUGCCCAGUUGUUUUAUAAAUACGGGGGCCCAACACUCUGUGCUCCUACGUCCAAAUGGGCUAGUGUCAAGCAAAAGACCUUGAGUACAAGGGGCUACUGACAACAAAUGAUACUCAUGGACUACCCGAAGAACGGUGGACCUUGGCGUGGGCCGGGUAUCCCACUUGUUCCUUGUGAUCCCAGACUGCCCCUACGAGUCUAAACCCUACAACCCUGCUCCCAGACCCUGACCUAGACACCCCCCUUCAUGACUGUCACCAGGUGCUCACUAAAGCACAGGAGUGGCAUAAAGAUCGGACUGAUCAGCCAACAGAUGGGGUAGAUGCCAUCUGGUUCAUAGAUGAGAACAGCUUCUUAGAAAAAAAAAAAAAAGAUGGGCUGGGACAACAGUGGUAAAUAAAAACAGAAUCAUAUGGGCUCAGGCCCUAACAGAAGACACUUCUACUCAGAGGGUAGAGCUCGCUCCCCUCACCAAAGCCCUUGGACUGAGAAAGGGACUUAACAUCUAUGUGGACAGCACAUAUGCCUUUGCUACAGCCCAUCAACAGAGGGGCCUGCUGACAUCUGAGGACAAGAAAAAAAAGAGAUUCUGGCUCUGUUAAGGGCCCUCCAUGACCCAGCCAGGCCGAGGAAGAGACUCUGGUACACCUCAACGAGAAAAAAGAUCCUGCUACAAUUUUUACAGGCAGAGGCCAUAAUAAAACAAAUGCAUCAAUAGACUCACUUAGGGGUAAACAAACUCAUCCAGAUGUUUUCAAAAACUAAAUAUUAUGUUACAGGUCUCAAGUAUCUCGUAGAACAGAUAGUACACUGAUGUAUACCAUGCCAAAAGAUAACUAUUUUCAAGAAAGUUGACUGUGAUAAGAGGCUCCUUGGGGAACGGCCUAGAUACUACUGAGAAGUGGACUUCACAGAGAUAAAACCAAAAAAAUAUGAUUUCAAAUGUCUCCUAGUGUUUAUAGAUAUCUUUUCAGGAAUAGGUAAAAGCUUUCCCCACCAAGCAAGAGACGGCCUCAAUAGUCCUCAAGAAGAUACUAGAAGAAAUCUUCCCCCGAUUUAGAAUGCCCAAGGUAAUCUGGUCAGACAACAGCCCUACUUUCGUUGCCAAGGUAAGCCAGGGUGUGGCCAAAUAUUUAGAGGUUGAUUAAAAAUUACGUUAUAUUUACAGACCUCAAAGUUCAGGACAAGUAAAAUAAAUAAAUAAGACUCUAAAAGAGACCCUGACCAAAUUGACCAUGGAGACUGGCGUAGACUGGGUGACACUCCUUCCCUCUUGCUCUCUUCAGAGCAAGAAAUACCCCUUCCAGAUUCAGCUUUACCCCCUUUGAGAUCUUAUAUGGGGCCUCAGCUCCCCUGACUAUAUUAGAUGAUGUUACUGAACCAACAUGUCAUAGUAAUAAUGAUUUGUAUGCCAGGCUAAAAGACCUACAGGUGAUACAGAAAGAAAUCUGCUCACAGCUGACAGCAGCCUAUGCCCCGGGGACCCCUGAGACAUUUCAUCAGUUCCAGGUUAGAGACUACAGCUACACUGAGCCCAGACACUCGAGCCUCGCUGGAAAAGACCGUACCUGGUGCUGCUGACCACCCUGACAGCCGUCAAUUCUCAGCCCUCACCAGCAGCGUACUAGCUGUUGGGGCUGAGAGCUGAGACCUAGAGGGACACUCAGAUCUUCAAAAAGCUCCCUAGACUUAAGUGAUUGGGAGGUUGCUAUAAUGCUCACUUGAGGAGUGUGUUUUAAAAACAAGAAUUUCAUGUUUGCCUGUUUGCCCUGGGUUCCCUCGAAAUAGGUAUAAGGAUAGGCUUGAUUUUUAUUACAAAUGAUAUAACAUUACAUAUGUUAGUACUCCUAACACUUCUUGGGACUAUGCCUCAGAGAUCACAACCUAUAUAAGUUUAAAAGUUCUAAAAGACCUUGGUGUAUAGGUUCAGAUAGUGUCCAGAUUAAAAUCCUGAUGCUAAAGACUUAAUAAGACACAAAAGAGAGUUAAAAAUUAUUUAAGGCUAUCUAGGUGCUACAAGGGCAACACAAGGACAUCUGCUGUUGCCCUAUAAUACAAGGCUUAUAAAAAAUUCAAAACUGCCAUUGACUCAGAUAUAAAAAAAAUAAAAAAGACUUUUUAGCUGACCUCCAAGAACACCUAACCUCCCUCUCAGAGAUAGUCCUUCAAAAUAAGAGAUUAGACCUGAUAUUCCUUAAAAAAAGAGUCUGUGUGCUACACUAAAAAAAUGUUGUUUCUAUACAGAUCAGACAAAAAUAAUAAGAGAUAUAGUCUUUCAGUUAUUCAAACUUUUGUGCUGAGACAACAAUAUCAGAUGGUAAAACAACAAAAAAACAGAGGUACCUUAACCAAGUUGAGUGGAAGAUUCCACUCAAGGACAAAAAAAAGAAAAUGGGGGAAUGAAAGACCCCCCUCCCAGAAAGGGAAUUGUACAAGCCCAAGGCCCUCAACCAUAGAAGUAAAAAGUAAGUUUUUAGAUAUGUGGGACAAGCUGACCCAUCAUUUAGACGAAACAGACCAAAAAAGAAAACAAAAUGCAGAAACCAGACUAAAUUAUGGGCACUGCUCCAUGGGCCACCUGGCAGGAAAAAGAAAAAGUCCCUGACCCCCCGGAAGCCCUGACCACCAUGUACUUUUUGCUAACUCACUGUUAUGAUUAUAGCCAAAAUAGGUAACAUACACGUAUGCCUCAUUUACUCCACCAAUCACAUCUCUGUAACUAUACAUCUGCUUCUGUAAGCCUGCUUCUGCUCCCCAAAACACUAUAAAAAGCCCGUCCCUGGUUCUGGUAGGCGCGCCAGUCUUCCAAAUUGACUGGGACGCCCACAGAUACCUGUGUAUCCUGAUCAAUAAAAAUCCUCUUACAGAUUACAGCCGGUGGACUCGGACUGGUCAUUGGGGCUUGAGGAUCUCCCUCCUGAGGGAAGAUUCUCUCUGAGAGUCUUACAUUAGAAUGUAAGAGACAUUUUCAGGAUAUUACAAAUACAAAAAAUUAAACAAAUGAGGCCAUUGUUAUAGGUAAAGGAGCUCCAUUCAUGCUGGUACCUACCAGUUGUUUGCUUCUGACUCAGUCCCUGGACAAUACAUUGAGAGGACUGAAACAGGCUGAGGACAGACUUCAAAUUGGCAGUUCAGGAGACUAGGCCUAGAUCUCUGUUUCCCAGAACCGGGAAAGUCCAGGCAAGUCAGUUAGUGGAAAAACCACAGGCGGAGGUCAGCCAUCAGAAGCUGCCCUGUUACCUGGCCUAGGGCAAGGCAAUGAGUCAGCAACAGUUUCUAAGCUUUCCAGCAAAAGUUUCCAGGCUUCCCAGUAUGGUUCUGGAAUGUCCGUACGGCCUUAGGCAACCCCAAAGAGCCCCAACAAAUCAAGGUAAAGAUCACCUACCCCUCCUUGGAAUUUCCCUAAAGUGCUGUAAUUGGGCCUUCGAGCUCAUCUGGGCAUCUCCAUCUUGAUAAAUAGUAGACCCCUGCAUGCGGAACUUUUGCAGAAUAAGAAGAACAGUAUUGCUUGUGCACACUAUUUUAGUCUAGGUUACCAUUCUUCACUGAAUUACAGACCAUUACAUUUAGGGGCUGGUCUGGAAUUCGCUGGAGAACCCCCUGACCCAAACGGAGUGUUUUCCUUUAUUUAUUAUAUACAUUGUAGCUAUCUUCAGACACACCAGAAAAGGGCAUCAGAUCUCAUUACAGAUGGUUGCAAGCCACCAUGUGGUUGCUGGGAUUUGAACUCAGGACCUUUGGAAGAGCAGCCGGUGCUCUUAACCACUGAGCCAUCUCUCCAGCCCCACGGAGUGUUUUCCUAAUUGGUAAGUUUGUGCACUGUGUUGUCUCUCGCCUUGUCUGUCUCUGUGUUUCUGGUUUCUGUUUCAGGAGUAAUCUGGAGGCCUAUUUUGUUACUCAGCCAGGGGCAACUGAGAAUGCCCCCAACGCCCAACCCGAAGCAGAACUUGCUACAUCUCAUCUGAUUUCUGAACCAGCUACAGUCUCCUAGAUUCAGUCAUGCUGACUCACCAGCCCACUUGGGAUGACUGUUAGCAACUUGCUGGGGACAACAUACGAUGACAGGGACUGCCAGCAGUAGACCAGGAUGGAGGCAUCUCAGAAGCCUGAGGCAGCUCCCUAUAAAGUAGGGUGGUGUCUGGGACCCUGAGAAGCAGGGGACACAUCCCUCCAGGGGACCCACCAUCUGAAAAAAGAGGCUGCCUGCAGUAGGCCAGGAUGGAGACAUCUCAGUAGCCCUCAGCAGCUCUUUGUAAAAGCUGGUUGUUCCCAUUUCUCCUAAACUUAACCUUAGCCCUGGACAACGGCUGUAUAGAUUUCAUUUGUGUGUGACUACCUUUCAGUUGGCCUCGGUGUGCAUAAUUAUUCUAUCAUAUCUGACUUUCCUACUUCUUUCUCCUUCUGCUCUGAUGAAUUCUGUGAAACUUGAUGUUCACUAAUGUUAUGAUUCUCAAACAAUUGGAAACUGAGGCAUAAGGGCACAGCUCAGCACAGCCCUAAUGGCCCAGGUGCAUGCUGUGUGUUCUCAUCUUGGAAACAAUGUAAUAACUGCACAAUAGUAGUUUCAGAUUGAUGCUUCACUUGCAAAACAACUUUAAAGAAAUUAUUAGAAAAUGAAUUAGAGCCAACAUUGGAAUCUUAGAAAGGAAAAAGUUAUUGAAGUUAAGAAAUAAGUUUCACAUAACAUUUGAGAGUGGUUCCUGGAUAAGGAAGUAUAGAAUAUAUGAAAUUAUACACUAGUAAACUAAGUCAAAAUGCUGGGACUCUUAUGAGAGUCAUUGUGUGCAAGGAACAGAAAGCUAGCGAAACCAUUGAGUUAAGGGUUAACUUGAUUCUUUCUGGCCACUGCCUGGCAGCUUUGUCCUUGUCAUUUAUCAUUAGAGCUUCACAGGAAAAUGCAAAUAGCUGACCUUGGAACUUUGAGCUCUGAAGUAUAAGUUAAAAGUUAAAGUUUAAAUAAUGAUAAGUUUACAAUUACUAUUAUUUUGGCCACAGGCCUGGGAAUAGGGGAAGCUUGAAACUUUGGGGAACAAUUGUAAUUCUUAGUUCUUUGUGGGAUGUGGUUAUUCUUUUGAAUUUGAUUUGGCAAUGAUUAUACAAUGUCUUUUUUCUACCUGCUUUUGGAUUAUCAAUAAAAGACUGGGGCAAGAGAAAGGCUAGAGAGAAUGUGAGAGCAAAUGAGAGAGCGAGUCUGAGAACAAAUGUGAGAUCAAGUGAGAUCAUGCAUGUGAAGAGAGAAUGUGAGGUGUGUAUGAAGACUGUGUGUGUGAGUGAAAGGAGAGUGUGUGUGGUGUGUGUGAGAUGUGUGUGAGGUGUGUAUGAAGAGUGUGUGUGAGAGUGAAAGGAUAAUGAACAGAGGUGUGCAUGAGUGUGGGAGUGUGGGAGUUUGAGAAAAGAAAACCGCAAUAAAAAAAAAGCAGAUUGUGCAAGAGAAUGCAGAAUAUGUGCAGCCUUAAGCUGAGAGAGAGAGAGAGAGAGAGAGAGAGAGAGAGAGAGAGAGAGAGACUUUAAACCUUGAAAUUGCCUGUCAGUUUGUACCCAAAGAAUAGUCUGUGUAUAUUUAUUAUGCACCUUCCAGAUAUCCCUGCUUCCAGUUGAGAACUCUCAUCCUGUAUCGAGGUUAGACACUGGCAGCAACUGUUCCAGGUCUUCAUCAUGACAAAGGAGAGAAAGAAGAUUGUGAGAACAACCUGGAAAAUGGUUUUUGGAGCAAAUCGGCUGCCUACACAUGCCCAGGCUGAUAUCAAUGCAGCCUUCUAUUUGACUUGACCCAAUUGGGAUUUUAACACUGCUGAAGGUAGAGAGGCUCUGUGUCUACCACCAGAUUCUGAUAGGGGGCCUCCAAGAGGCUGCCGGUUGGCCAGGCUUGUCUAAGGUAAGCAAGGUAAUGGAGGGAAAGAAUGAGAGCCCCAGAGAAUAUCUAGAGUUUUUGAGGGGUUGGGGAUUUGGCUCAGUGGUAGAGCGCUUGCCUAGCGAGCGCACGGCCCUGGGUUCGGUCCCCAGCUCUGAAAAAAAGAAAAGAAAAAAAAAAGUUUUUGAGGCCUAUAAGACCUGCAUUACUUUUGACCCAAAAGCCAGGAACCCGGUCAGCUGUGAACAUGGCUUUUGUUAAGCAAGCUGCUACUGACAUCCAUUGGAAGCUACAAUGCCUGGAUGGCUUUGGAGUAAGCAACUGACUGAGUAGCCAUAACUGAGGUUUUCAACAACCAGGAGACCCCCGAGGAUCAAUCGACAGACAGGACUGGUAAAGUACUACUCAAUGCCAUGAGCUGAGGCAGUCCUGAUAAGAGAGAGCUGAAAAACCUCGCUUUUAGAAGGAUCAGAGGUAAACUAGCCUCCACUAAAGGAAAAACCCAUCCUCCACUAGAGAGGGACCAAUGUGCCUAUUGCAAGGAAAAGGCCUUUGGAGGAAUGAGUGUGCUAAGAUAAGUAUUCUAAGAAAAUAAUCAAAGAGAGGGCCCAAAAUUUCUGGAAUUAGAAGACCUAGAUGACUGAGGGAGUCAGGGCUCUCUCUCUCUCUCUCUCUCUCUCUCUCUCUCUCACACACACACACACACACACACACACACACACACACACACACACACACCUGCCGCAUGCGCCCUGGGUAACCCUAAAGUUGGAGGGCAAGCCUGUGGAGAGCUUUUGGGGCUGCUUCUAGAAACUUGGCAAGAAUUUGACAUUGGGCCAGGACAAGGAAGUAGGCUUCAGGCAAGAAUUUGACAUUGGGCUAGGACAGGGAAGUAGGCUCAGGUAUCUUGGUCAUCCUGAUAAGCCCUAGAAACAGUGAUCAUGGGGCUUUGUUUAUUGCCUUGCUUGUUCUUGAUUAUUUGUGUUUAGUACCUGGUUUGUUCCUUGACCUAGAACUGACCUUAUUAUCUGCAUGUAAUUAAAAUGGUAAAGAGCAGACUGGGAAAAAGUAAACCCACUUCAACCUCAGAACUGGCUGGGGUCAUGCUACAGUGUUGUCUAAUUGUCUUUUUCUUUUUAAUCCUCAGUCCCCUCCUGGAGAACCUGUUGACUGACUGAGCUGGCUUGGUCAGAAGCCCAUAGACUUUCUGCUGGACAUGGGGGUACAAUAUUCUGUUUUGAAACAAUAGUUAUGGGUGCAAGGGGCAACUGGCACUGAGUCCUAUCCAUGGACUUACACAAAGAAAGGUGGACUUGGGAGUGUGACAGGUAACUCAUUUAUGGUCACCCCUGGAUGCCCAUACUCCAUGCUUGGAAGAGAUCUCUUCGCCAAAAUGGGAGGCCAAACCCAUUUUGGUCCAGAGGGAGUGGAAGUACUAGAUAAGAACGGUCCCACCCAUGUUCUGACCUUGGCUCUAGAAAGAAGAAUACAAAUUGUUCCCUCAACUAGCCCCAUCUCCAAGCUGUUACUUCAGAGAUUUCUGGCAGAAAUCCCCAAGGUCAGGGCAGAAAAAAUCCAGUGGGAUUUGCCUAUCACGAGGCCCUGGUUCUAGUCCAAUUAAAGGCUGGAACUACCCAGCCUGAAUCAGGCAAUACCCAGAGAAGCCAGAACAGGGAUCACCCCUCAUAUUAACUGGCUCUGGGAGACAGGGAUUCUGGUUCCUUGCCAAAGCAUAGAACAUUCCCCUCCUUCCGGUCAAGAAGUCCCAUUCCAAUGACUAUUCGCCUGUGCAGGUUACCUUAAGGGAGGUAAAUAAGGCAGCAGCAGAUUUUUAUCUCUCAGUUCCAAAUCUGUACACCCUGCUGAGCAGCUUCCUUCCCAAGCACAGAAAGUACAGGUGCUUGACCUGGGGAUGCCUUCUUUAGUCUACCCAAAAGCCAGCCUCUAUUUGCCUUUGAAUGGAAAGACUUGGAGAGAAGCUUCAAAGGACAACUGACCUGGAUAUGUCUGCCUCAAGGAUUCUAGAACUCACCCACCAUCUUUUACAAGGCACUAUUUGAGAACUUGGAGGAGUACCGGUUGGCCCACCCCCAAAUAAUUGUGCUCCAGUAUGUAGAUGACAUCUUGAUUGUUGCUCUUGACCUGGAGACAUGACAGAGGCCACAUGAGACCUGCUACAGGAGUUGAAUCAACUUGGCAAUGGAAUGUCUUCUAAGAAGGCCUAACGUUGUCACCUAUCUGGGGUAUAAACUCAAGGGGGGCCUGAAGUGGAAACUUAAGGGUUCUUUGGAAAGUCAGUUGUGUUGGAAGAUAUUUUUGGGGGGCAAACACGUGAAGAAGUGUUUUCCUGAAGUAGAUACAGGUGAAAGACUAAGGUAGACUUGUGAAGAAAUGUUUCACUGAAGCAGACACAGGAGAGAGGAUUUUCUGCUACAGGAAACACUGGUUUCGUGUUGCUUCCAUGGAGUCAGGCCGAUUGGCAGAGUGAUGUCAGCUGAAACAGAUGAACAUGGUGAGGCAAGACAUGUGCUGAGACAAGACCCAUGGAGGACAUGUGAUAAAUAGGACUCCAUGGACAGUGAUGGAGGAGGAGCUAGGCUUGUUUAUAGGCUUAGCUGUGUAAGGUCUCCUGCCUUUGCCCUCUUUGUUUUGCUGAGAGACAUACAGCCAAGAACUUUCCUUGGCAUUCCUCUUGGUCACUCCUGUUGACUCCAGCCAAGGCUAAGACUGGUCUCUGUUAGGUCGUGUCACCGCCAUUGAUUCAUGUUCAUGAACUCGACUCUACUGAAAUGGACUGAUGGUGUAUCCGUAAAGUGUUUGUGAAUAAAUUGAGCUGCUCCUGCUAACCUGUGACCUAAACCACACAUUUCCAGACGAUAUGGACGAGAGUUGCUUACAAAGAACCUUUCUAAACAGGUCCACUUCCCCCACAUCUUUUCUUUUCUACUACACCUCUGGUGGGUGGUGAACUACAAGAGAGGUUAAAACAUUUAAGAACCAUCAUUAAAAAAUAGUUGCUUAAAAAGAUUAAUGUUACUGCUGGAUGCCUGGAAGGAAACCAUCCUUAGAAACCCAGUUCCAUCAACUGAAGGCAAGUAUGGGAAUUUCUGUGAUCUGCCAGGUUUUGCAGACUCUCAGUGCCAGGGUUCACUGAGGGAGUCAGACCACCAUAUGAGGCUACUAGGGGCCAAGAAGAAAAAAUAGAAUGGACCCCUGAGAUGGACAUGACCUUUAAGGUUCUAGGAAGAGCCUUAUUGGAAGUGCCAUCCCUGAUUCUCCUAGACAUUCGCAAACCUUUCCACCUGCAUGUGGAUGAGAGAAAGGGCAUAGCAAAGAGAGUGCUUACCCAAACUUUAGGGCCAUGGAAAAGACCUGCGACUUAUUUAUCUAAGAAGCUGGACCUGGUGGCCCAAGGAUGGUUAGUCAGCUUACCUCUAGAACAUGGCUGCCGCUGCCCUGCUAGUCAAGGACACUGACAAAAAUAACCAAUGGGCAGGAAUCUAUCACCCCACACACACACCCAUACUAUCGAGGGGACCCUCAAGAAUCCACCCAGCCAGUGGCUGUCCAACACCAGACUGUGCUCUUUCAGACUCUGUUGAAUCCCCCUUGCAUAGAGCUAACCCAUCAUCUGCCCUUAACUCAGCCACCCUGCUACCUGACCCAUCCAUAGAUGGGUCAUGUUGUGCUAUAGUUCUGGAGGGCACGUCCAGAACAUCAGGCUGGACUUGACUGAUGUACCCUGGCCAGAUGUGGAAUGUAUGGAUGGGAGCAGCUUCAUCCAGGGUGAGUCAGGUAUGCAGAGGCCGUGGCAGUGGACUUGGACUGUUAUCUGGGCAACUGUUUUUUGCUGCCAGGAACCUCAGUUCAGAAAGCUGAACUAAAGGCUCCAACCCAGGCUUUAAAGCUGGCAAAAGCGCCUUAGCUAACAUCUACACUGACAGCAGAUACGCCUUUACUACAGCUCAUGUACAUGGGUUCAUGUACUAAGAGAGGGGAUUAUUGGCUGCUGAAGAAAAAAAAAACAACAUCAAAAAUAAGGGAGAAAUACUUGCUUUACUGGAGGCAUUAUGGCUUCCUCUCAAAGGGCAUCAGAAAUAGCCCGAGGGAACAGGUUAGCUGAUAAAGCUACGAGGAUGAUCACCUAAGCGUCUACUGCCAACAUCCUUGAAGCUUUGCCACCCCCUGCACUCCCAGUCAUUGCAGUUCAGGAUCUCUGUUUCCUAGAACUGGGCAAAUCCAGGCAAGCCGAUUACUGGAAAAACCACAGGCCAAGGGCAGUCAAUCAGAAACUGCCCUGCCGUCAGAGCUGCCCUUUACCUGGCUUAAGGCCAGGACCCCAGUUCCCAGCUGUGCCCUCCCCUCAACCCCGCAAGCCCAGCAACGGUUCUGGAGCCAAUCCAGAGGACCCCCACUCUCCUAGAGAUGGAGCCAACCAAACAACAUAAAGGAAUUCUGUAGUGCCAUAUUGGAUUUGGGCCUGGCCACUUUGUAACUGCAUGGCCACAGUAAAAGUCAUGGGAUUGUUGGACAGAGGCCUCUCCCAUGUAUUUAUGGCACAGGAAGAAAAGACCAAGUAGUAAACACCCGAUAUCUCCACUGCAUGACCUCUGCUGAGCCCCGCUGAUGCAUGUGGAACUGACACACCUGGACCACACCUGGGUGGUGGUCAAUUUACUUCUGCCUUUUACUUCCUCAGCCUUUAUCCUUGAGAUUUAGGCUGGUCUUCUGGGAUUUCUCCCUAAUUAAUUCAGGUCUCGUAGUUGGUCUUUUGUUACCAAAGUCAUGAGCCAGGUAGUCACGAGCCAGGGUUUCCCACUGUGCUUCCCAGACAUUUUCUACCUGAAGACUUGGGUAUAUAAGUGGUGAAUAAAGCUACAGGAGUCUCUCACUCUUCCUCCUCACUCUUACUAUUCCUCUCACUCUCACUCUUCCCUCCGCUCUCCAUUUUCUCUCUCUCUCUCUCUCUCUCUCUCUCUCUCUCUCUCUCACUCUUCCUCCUCACUCUCACUAUUCCUCUCACUCUCACUCUUCCCUCCGCUCUCCAUUUUCUCUCUCUCUCUCUCUCUCUCUCUCUCUCUCUCUCUCUCUCUCUCCCCCUUUCCUGGCUUGACAGGAUAACCUGUGUGUGUGUGUGUGUGUGUGUGUGUGUGUGUGUGUGUGUGUGUGUGUGUGUGUGUGUGUGUUUCUUUCAUCCCGUAGGCUUUCGCCCGAUUCUCGGUACCAGGUCAGUGCUGGCGCCGACAGAAUUCCUUCUACCUCUCCCUGGAAUUCCCCUAGUGUGUUUUAAAUUGGGCCUGUGAGCUCACUUGGGUGUCUCCAUCUUAGUAAAUAGUAGACCCCCCCCCCCCAUAUUGAACUUCUGCAGAAUAAAAAGCUCUUCACUUUUGCAUACUAUUCGUGUCUGGGUUAUCAUUCUUAGGCGAAUUAUGGACCCUUACAAAAUUCCCAGUAAUCCUGACUCGGUGACCCCCCCAACCUAAAAAUGCACAGCUGAGACUAUCUGCUGUUAUAUUAUGACUGCUUUCUUCUUCUUUUCUUUUGCUUCUGUGACUUUCUUACACAGACACCAAAAGCCUGUUUUGAGUUGCCUUAACCACUUAACUCGGCAGAACAGAACAGACUUUUUUCUUGCUUGCAAAGAUAUUGAAGGUCUUUGUGUAGUUUUUCCCUUCUCCUUCAUGCCAAUCUCAAAUUUGGCUCAGAGAUAGUCCUACGAGCAGCUAAUCAAUAAACCUUUUUUUUUUUCUUUUUUUCGGAGCUGGGGACCGAACCCAGGGCCUUGCGCUUGCUAGGCAAGCGCUGUACCGCUAAGCUAAAUCUCCAACCCCUCAAUAAACCUUUUAAUUAAAAUUGGAUUCAGUCUAUGGUCUUUUCCGGGGUGAGGGAGUCACUGAUUCUAUAACUUCCACCAUGUAUUUCUAUAGAUCCUAUAGUUUCUGUAGGUUGCAUAAAAUAAAACAUUUUGAUUAUGAAUUCUGUAAUGGCUAUUUUGGGCCUAUUAAUUUGACUAUAACUGGAAUUAACUAAAAUUGAACUGAUUUCAAGUGCAAAGACGCACCCUAAACUUAGAUUUUUUUUCAAAUCCUAUUUUUAAUGAUUCUUAAACACUUUAACUUUCCUUGUAGCCUACUACCCACCAGAGAUAGUGGAAAAGGAAGGAUACGGGGAAAGUGGGCCUGUUUAGAAAGGUUCUGUGGAGCAACUCCCCUCUGUGUUGUCUGGAAACCAGCAGUUCAGUGCACAGGUCAGCAGCAGCAGCUUGAUUCACUUGCUAACACUUCACAGAUACACCAGCAGACCAGUUCUGUACAGUCACGAUAGCAGGAGGCACGAGUCAGCAGCAGGGGCCAGGAGGGACUCCAGGAGAAGUUCUCAGCUGUGCCUCAGGGAAGCGAAGAUCAGCAAAGAGUGGAGACCAACAAGCAUUGCACAGCUUAGCUCUAUGAGCAAGCCAAGCUCAGCCUCCAUCACUGUCCCUUGAGUCCUUUUAUACCCUCCAAACACCACAUGUCUUCCACAGUUCUCACCUCAUCAUGUGCAUCUGUCUCAGCUGACAUCACUCUGCCAAUCAGCCUGAGACCACACAGCAGAACACCAGAACUUUUUGGUGUGUUUCUCUUUAUGGAGUCCUGACAAAUGGAGCUCAACUACACAAUGUAAGGCAGACCAAUACAUGCUUGUCUUUAGCGAACAAUCCAUCAUGUGCCUUUCAUGUGUUUGCUUUAGCAGAAAAUCCUCUCUUCUGUGUCUGUUCCAGUGAAAAACUCCUUCACGAGUCUGCCUUAGUUUUUCACCUGUGUCCACAUCAGGAAAACACUCCUUCAUGUGUUUGCUCCAGCAAAACACCAUCCAACACAACUGAUUCUCUGAAAAACCCAUAAGUCUCCACUUCAUGUUGGGGUUUUGUUGUUGGUGGUGUUUGUUGUUUGUUUGUUUGUUUGUUUGUUUAGACAAGAUUUUUCUGUGUAACACUGGCUGUCCUGGAAUUCACUCUGUAGACUAGGCUGGCCUCAAACUCUGUAGUGAUCUGCCUGUCCUGGGAUUAACAUCAGGCUUAAGUCUAGACAUUUUAAGAUGGGAAGAUAAAACUUAAAUCUGGGCCAUACCUUCUCUGGCAACCUGUAAAAGGACACGGAAGAAGAAGACACUUAACUUUUGCUUGCUUGCCCUUGUUCUCGCUAUCAAGUUAAUUCCUUCACUGAUAUUAGAACCUUCUUUUCUAGGAUUCUGAUGUAUACUGAAGACCAGGAGAGACAUCCAGCCUGUGCUUUCUACUGGGAGACAGCCAUGAACUAGUCAGACUAUAACCUGUAAAAACAGGAAUCUUUGUGAAGGCCCUGUCUGGAAGACCAUCGUCACUUUGGGGUCAGUCCUUUGACACUAUCAUUAUGUGAUGGCUGACUGGCAGUUCUGAAAAGCCAUCUUGUACCUGGGUCGUGCUCCGCGCUCACUGCAGCCACCUUCGCUGCCCACCGCCUCCUCCAACGUGGACUUCAGCAGCUUUCUCGCCAGAGUCCUCGAACUCGACUAAUUCCUUACUCACAGCAUUGAACCACUGGCGUGCCCCACCAUGUCACACGCGGCAGUGGACACCAUCUCCGAGAUCACCACCAAGGACUUGAAGGAGAUGAAGGAAGUUGUGGAGGAGGUAGAGAGUGAAAGAGAUGCGCCUGCCCAUGGGAACGCUGUAAGGAAGAGGAUGGAGAUGAAGAUGAGGAAGCUGAGGCUCUUCCGGGCAAGCGGGUAGCUGAGGAUGAUGAGAACGAUGAUGUUGACACCACCAAGAGGCAGAACACUGAUAAGGAUGACCAGACAGCAAAAAGGAAAAGCUAACCUUACACACCUUGAACUAUUCACCCUCCACUUCCUGUCUCAGAAUUUAAACCUGGUCACCUUCCAGUAGAGAAGCAGGCCCCGCCCACCCACUGCGGGCAGUGCCACCACGGAUGACAUGUGCUCUCUACCACCCCACCAAAACCACAACAUGAACUGGCAACAUGGGAGGAGAAAAGAACCAGAACUUCCCAGGCCCUGCUAUUUUUCUUAAAAAUAUUUUAAAAAGAAAACUUGUUUAUAUUUUUAUCUACAUUUUAUAUUUUUCUACAUAUUGUUAGGAAUCAGCCAUUUUAAUAAUAACAGGUGACUGACCCAGCCUUCAGAGCGUUUUCCGUCCUACCUCAGACUGUAUUUGUGGUGUGACCAUGCUCAUUAUAAUCUCAAAGGAGAAAAAAAACAUUAUUUAAAAAAA